UUUGCACGUCGUCUCAUCCAGCGCUGCUAUCUCUCAUCGAUUUGCUGCGUCGCUUCCUGCCGCAGUCCGCUAGCUUCCGCCGCACCAUGGCUAGCAGGGCGGCUAGGGAUUGAGCCCCUGCUUCACCGCCCUCCUCAUCAACUGCGGCCGACCGGCCGAAGGCCACCGGCAGUCCGUCACCUGGGGACAGUCGAGGCCUCGCGGGCACGACGAGAAGCACGCCCUACUGCGCCGGCCGCCGACGCUCACGCUCAACGCCAAGAAGCUCCACCGCGUCAGGUUGCCGCUGCCGUCGUCGCCGUGUCGAGAACACAACGGUCAGUCACCACGAUUCGAUUAGAAGAAAAAGUUGACCCCGUUUAUAAGGAAAACCGGGUCUAAAAACCAUACAAAGAAUGGUUUAUUCAAGGAAAGCCGUGCAAAAACCUUGACGACAAACAAGCUACCUAACAAAGCUAGGUACAAGGCACACCGAUGAGCAAGCCGCAACUGCAAGAGCAAAACCUCCUACCGCUUCAGGUUCAGGUUCUUGUCAUCAACAAUGUUUGGCUAGACUGAGAAAAGAUCAUCAUUUAGGUGUAAACUUCAUGCAAAUUGGUGGCUUAAUCUUGGCAAGGGCAAGCAGGGAAGAAGGGAAUGUCCAUAUGCCAUCCCCGCAUAUCAAUCCGGAUGCAAUGGCAGGGUACCAAUCUCCCUUCCUUUUGCUGAGGAGUGGCCACAUUAGUCCCCAUGAAAUAAUUGCACCAAAGAGGGUGGAGAUGUUCACUAUAUGCGGGCAAAUCAUUCCGGCACCAAUGUAUGUGGCGCUGAAGUCGAAGAAGAAGCUAAAAAACAAAGAAAUGGGAGUUAAGAGAGUUUGUUCUCCUCCACAAAUUAUGAAAUCAUGUGAUGAAACAUAGAAAAGAAAACGAUUACGUUUGUUUCCAAGCCUUUAGACCGAGUGUAGGGAAUUGAACAAAUCCACAAACAUCCCCUCCAGUGUAGAACCAUUGGAAGAAGCUCCAGAAAAAGCUCAGCCCAAAGUAUUUUAGAAAUCCAUGGAUCUGUUUCCUGUUAUGGAAGGUAGGAUUGUUUAAUCCAGUUGAAGAACUUGGUACAAAUUGUUUGGUUUAACGACCGAAAGGACAAAGCUUGUAAUGAAGAUAACAAAAGCGUCAACAUACAUACUUCGAAUUCUUGUCUCCCUGAGUGGUAUGAAACCCGUUUAUAA